rnacentral:lncRNA from 1 species
UUCUGUGGAUGAUAUUCUGGCUUCUGAAGACUUGUCAUUGCUACAGCAACACCGAGAUGCAUUGGCACUCUUCAAUCCAGAGGAUGGGCCAUCAACGCACAAAAGUGGAAGGCUUGGACUAGCUGCAAAGUUCCUAUGGAUCACUUGGCCUGGUUUGGAAUAGUUCACCAGUGAAGUCAUCUCAACCAGCACAGGGCCUUGACUCCUAACAACAAUCACACGAACUUGGAAGAGGAUCCUUCCCCAGCUGAAACUUC